UAAAACACCCAACUUCUGAAUGUUGACCUCGAAUCAGGUAG
rnacentral:rRNA from 1 species